UUAAGUUUCUACGUUGAUAAUAUUUUAAAAAAAUGAUUUAGAUAUAAAUUUUGUGAAGUCUGAACAAUUUCGUGACCCCGUCCCCAUCAACAAAUUAAAGGAAGUUUUGAAGCCAAGUCAAGAGCUGUUUCAAAACUUGCUUUGAAUCUGUUAGUAGACAAGUCGUGGCCUUCUUCUUAACAUCCACUGAUUGUUUCCAUAUACGGUGAGGGGCAUGAUAUGAACUCAACUCAUGGCGAGUUAGCAAAGUGCAUGGCUUUAUCUCAUCCACUUAUUCCGCAUUCCGAUUUUGGCUUUUAGCAUAUCACCGUUCAGACGAAAACGCAAUCGAUGCUGUCUAGAUUCGCACAAGUUCGCGUCAGCGAGUCAGCGACCAAGAUGGAACUGAAUCAUAAGAGUUAACAACAACAUUUGUUUGCCUCUUCACUAAUUAUAUUCUAUAGUUUGUGCUUUGCCCAAGUUUUUACACUAUGAGCAAGUAGAGUUACUAAGAUGUAGAACACCGAGGUAAAAUGUCCAUACAAUAUCAAAUAAAAAAAUGUAAACCGAAAUGA